rnacentral:misc_RNA from 1 species
GAUGAAGAACGUAGCGAAAUGCGAUAAGUAAUGUGAAUUGCAGAAUUCAGUGAAUCAUCGAAUCUUUGAACGCACAUUGCGCCCGCCAGUAUUCUGGCGGGCAUGCCUGUCUGAGCGUCAUUUCAACCCUCAUGCCCCUAGGGCGUGGUGUUGGGGAUCGGCCAAAGCCCGCCAGGGACGGCCGGCCCCUAAAUCUAGUGGCGGACCCGUCGUGGCCUCCUCUGCGAAGUAGUGAUAUUCCGCAUCGGAGAGCGAUGAGCCCCUGCCGUUAAACCCCCAACUUUCCAAGGUUGACCUCAGAUCAGGUAGGAAUACCCGCUGAACUUAAGCAUAUCAAUAAGCGGAGGA